rnacentral:rRNA from 1 species
UACAGGGGGGGCAAGCGUUGUUCGGAAUUACUGGGCGUAAAGGGCUCGUAGGUGGCCGACUAAGUCAGACGUGAAAUCCCUCAGCUUAACUGGGGAACUGCGUCUGAUACUGGAUGGCUUGAGUUUGGGAGAGGGAUGCGGAAUUCCAGGUGUAGCGGUGAAAUGCGUAGAGAUGUGGAGGAACACCGAUGGCGAAGGCAGCCUCCUGGGCCAACACUGACGCUCAUGCACGAAAGCGUGGGGAGCAAACAGG